rnacentral:lncRNA from 1 species
GGGUAAAGUGCACCACAGGCAACAAGAGCACGAAAAGAUGACCAUUGGCAAGAACUCCAGGAAGAGCUCAGUCCGAAGCUCCAUCCGGGCUCCGAAGUUUCUGGACAAAGCCAGUGGCUUCUAUGGGCGUCUCGAUGAACCCGAGGGGGAAAAGGAAACCCAGCCGCCGCAGCAGCAGGUGGAGAAGAAGCUCCAGGAGAAAGCAGAAAGAGGGGAGAGCUGAGGAGGAGCAAGUCAGAGACGAGAGGCCGAGCCUGGGCCUGAGUACCCCUGACCUGGAAGACACCAAAGUGAUGAUCGAGGUUGAGAAACUGAAAGAGAUGGAGGAAGAUCAGGAGAAGGUGGGCAGAGGGAGGGAGCCAGUGCUUGUUCACUUCCCGGUUCGAGAAGAAGCAGAUGAUCAAGUCCUGAUCCGAGACAAGAAGAGAGGAAGGGAGGAAGACGAGGGAGAGGAAGGGAGGCGGAUGAAGAGGGAGCAGGAAGAAGAACUGAAGAUGGUGAAGAGGAACACAGUGAAGAAUUAUCGCAAGGCCUUGGACCGAGCUUUUCGCCGCGGCUGGGAGACCUUCAUCACCAACCUUUACAGUGUCACGCUCACACCUGUAACAUCAUCAUCCUCUCCAUCAUCACCUUCGUGGAAGAAGAAGCAUCAGCACAACUCCGUGUUAGCUGAGUUUCAGUAG